CGCACCGUAAACGAUGAUAACUUGGUGUUGGAGGUAUUGACCCCUUCAGUGCCGAAGCUAACGCGUUAAGUUAUCCGCCUGGGAAGUACGGUCGCAAGAUUAAAACUCAAAGAAAUUGACGGGGGCCCGCACAAGCGGUGGAGCAUGUGGUUCAAUUCGAUGCAACGCGAAAAACCUUACCUGGGUUUGAAGUGCUAGUGAAUGUGGUAGAGAUAUCACAGGCCUUCGGGACACUAGUAUCAGGUGC
rnacentral:rRNA from 1 species